UGACCUAUCCAUGUCCAGGUUGAAGGAGCCGUAAAAGGCUUUGGAGGACCGAACACACAUCUGUUGAAAAAGGUGGUGAUGAGGUGUGGAUAGCGGAGAAAUUCCAAUCCAACUCGGAGAUAGCUGGUUCUCCUCGAAAUAGCUUUAGGUCUAGCCUCGAGAUGGAGUCUAACGGAGGUAAAGCACUGAACUGACGCGGGGCCCACAAAGGUUACCAACUCAUAUCAAACUAAGAAUGCCGUCACGAUACCCUCGGGAGUCAGUCUGCGUGAGAUAAGUCGCGUGGACAAAAGGGACAGAGCCCAGACCGACAGCUAAGGUCCCAAAGUACGUGUUAAGUGGAAAAGGAUGUGGGAUUUCA
rnacentral:rRNA from 1 species